AUGAAGUUUCUUAACCCUACUGACCUCAUUGUUUUCAUCUGUGCAGGCCAACUGCUGGGACCUCGGCAGGGAGCCCAGGCCCUUCCAGGAGAAGUGCAGGAGAGGUGGGGGGACGCCAGUCAUCUUCUUUCUCCCCUGAAGAGAGAAACAGGAGGGGUUCUGAUGCUGGAAGACUCAGAACACAUCACAGGUAACAGGAGAGAAGACAGAGAGAUGCUUCCUUUUUAUUGUUUAAAUUUGUUGAGUGUGUGUGCAUGGAUAUCUGCGCAUAUGUGCUCACCCACAGGAGGCCAGAGGUCGUUAUCAGCUGUCUUCCUCCAUUAUUCUUCAUCUUAGUUUUUGAGACAGGGUAUUUCGCUGAACCUGACAUUCACCCGAUGCUAACUGGCUGCCAAGUGAGUCACCACUGAAGUUAGAGACGCACACCAUCAUACCCAUCUCACAUGUGUGCUGAGGAGCCCAACCCAGGUCCUCAUGCUUGCACAGCAAGCACCUUAUCCACUGAGCUUUAUUUUCCAGCCCUGGGACUCAUUGCUUAUAAAUGACAGACCCCGGAGUGCUCUGAUGAAGCCCGAAGAGUUCUGUGAAAAUUAAUUGCUCAAAUUUUUUAGUAGAUGUCUCUAAACUUUAGUCCCUAAUUCAUACUAAAUGGUCUUGCAUUGCUGACAGUCGGUCAUGGCGCUGUGACGGAACAGGAAGUUCUUGCUACAGAAGUCCUGACAUCCCAAGGACUCCUGUGUCCUUUACAUAGUAGUUCCCCUUCCAAGAGGGACACUAUGCAAGCAGCAAAUAGUAGCAGCUUCCAUUCCACACCACAUCUUUCCCUCUUGUCCUGUGCACCAGAGUCAAUCUCUCCUCCUGGGCUUUGUACACUCGAUGCCACUUUAUACACUUGUGCUUUGCUGCUGAUACAAAAAUACAAGAUAGCACAGAGGGUCUGAAAAGCAAGUGACCCCAGGGGCAAGUGGUGAAUACAGUGGAUGUACAAGGUAUAACCAGGUUCACAUCCAGGUUGAAUAAGAUGACAGCAUGAACUUCUACAACACUAUUAAGGACAGUGCACAGUUUAAAACAUAGUAAUUACUUCUGGAGUUUUCUAGCUAGUUUUCAGACCAUGGUUGACCACAGGUAACUAAAAACAUUGAAAUAGAGAGUUCACAUGUGAGUAGCUACAAGGCUACUGUGUUUAUAACAAGCCCCCUUGAUAACUCCUGACUUUAGGUUAGAGAGGCUGCUUGGGUGGGGUCUUUGGCUUGGUGCCAGUUAUCAGAAAGACCAGGUUAUCCAGUAUUAUAGUCUGGAACUUCCAGCCAUGUCUUCUGACCCCUGAGAAUGGUGCUGGUGGCUGGAGACAAGCUCUGCUGAACAGCAGCAAGUAGAGGAGCUUGCCUGUGGAAGAAGGUGAGGAAGUGUGGCCAUGGGAAGAGGAGGCAGGGUGCUUGCUCAUGUAUGUCCCAUGGCCCUUUGACUAUUUCUUUGGUGGUGUGUUGGCAUGCAUAUAUGUGCAUGUGGAGGUCAAAUGCUAAUUUCUGAUGUCUUCCAAAGUGCUCUCCACCUUGUUUAUGACUAGGGGCUUGUGGUGGUUUGCAAGAAAAUGGCCCCCGAAGGGAAUGACACAAUUAGAAGGUGUGGCCUUAUUGGAGGAAGUGUGUUACUGUGGCAGCAGGCUUUGAGGUCUCAUAUAUGCUCAAGACAUCACCCAGUGUCUCAGUUCACUUCCUGUUGCCUACAAGACGUAGGACUUUCAGCUCCUUCUCCACCACCACAUCGGCCUGUACACCACCAUGUCACACCAUGAUGAUAAUGGACUAAACCUCUGAAAUGUAAGCUACCACCUCAAUUAAAUCUUUUUCUUUAUAAGAGUUGCUGAUGUUGUGCUGUCUCUUCACAACAAUAGAAACCAUGACUAAGACAGGGCUUACCAACUUUACUAGACUAGCUGGCCCCCAGGCCCCAGGCAUGCUCCUGUCUCUACUUCUCAAUGCUGGGAUUAUAAAUAUGCACCACUCCCAUGGCUUUUUAUAUGGUUUAUGGGGCUUGAACUCAGCUCCUUGAGCUGUGUGGCAAGCAUUUUGCUCCAUUUCUUCAGCUUCCACCUGUCUCUGGGCUGUCAGCUUCUCCAUCUGAGCCUCCUGAAGCUAAAGUAUCAGUUUGUACCCACAGUACAAAAUCUAAACAGCCUGCAUGUCAUGGAGUAGCACUUGUAUUUACCCCAAGGAAAUGCUUUCAAAGGAUGUCAACAUGCCAUGGUGGGAGGCAGGAUUCAACAGCCCAAGGCAUAUGAAGGUCAAGGGAUUCUUUCCUAUAGUCUGUGUCCCAUUCAUCUGACAACAGUGCAAGGCUGAAAUUGGCAUGACAAGGACGCUAGUUCAACUGCUGAGGUUCUGCUGGUAGCCCCAGAUUCUUGCCCAACUUCAAUCAAACACCAGGGCAAUUAAAUUAAUUUCUGUGCACCGUGUAACAGCCUACCAAAACUGGGAUACUUAAAACAUCAGAAACUUGUUCCCAAAGCUUCAGAGACUAGAAUUCUCAGUCAUACAGGCCUCUGAGGCUCCAGGGCAAAAUAAAAAACAUAGGCAUCUCUUAGCUUAUGUGUAU
rnacentral:lncRNA from 1 species